rnacentral:rRNA from 1 species
CAGCCGCCGCGGGAAAACGUAGGGGGCGAGCGUUGUCCGAAGUUACUGGGCGUAAAGAGCGCGUAGGCCGGUCUUUAAGUGAGUGGUGAAAGGUUCGGGCUCAACCCGGACACUGCCUUUCAUACUGGGGACCUUGAGUGCAGAAGAGGAGAGUGGAAUUCCACGUGUAGCGGUGAAAUGCGUAGAGAUGUGGAGGAACACCAGUGGCGAAGGCGACUCUCUGGUCUGUAACUGACGCUGAGGAGCGAAAGCGUGGGGAGCAAACAGGAUUAGAUACCCCCGUAGUCCCUGUCUCUUAUAC